CUCCGGGUGAUCCUGCCGACCCGACUGCUAUCAGAGUGGGACUAAGCCAUGCGAGUCAACAUAGCAAUAUGUGGCAUACGGCUCAGUAACACGUAGUCAACAUGCCCAGGGGACGUGGAUAACCUCGGGAAACUGAGGAUAAACCGCGAUAAGUCACUACUUCUGGAAUGGGUAAUGACUCAAAUCUACAUGGCCCCUGGAUUGGACUGCGGCCGAUCAGGCUGUUGGUGAGGUAAUGGCCCACCAAACCUGUAACCGGUACGGGCUCUGAGAGGAGGAGCCCGGAGAUGGGCACUGAGACAAGGGCCCAGGCCCUAUGGGGCGCAGCAGGCGCGAAACCUCUGCAAUAGGCGAAAGCCUGACAGGGUUACUCUGAGUGAUUUCCGUUAAGGAGAUCUUUUGGCACCUCUAAAAAUGGUGCAGAAUAAGGGGUGGGCAAGUCUGGUGUCAGCCGCCGCGGUAAUACCAGCACCCCGAGUGGUCGGGACGUUUAUUGGGCCUAAAGCAUCCGUAGCCGGUUCUACAAGUCUUCCGUUAAAUCCACCUGCUUAACAGAUGGGCUGCGGAAGAUACUAUAGAGCUAGGAGGCGGGAGAGGCAAGCGGUACUCGAUGGGUAGGGGUAAAAUCCGUUGAUCCAUUGAAGACCACCAGUGGCGAAGGCGGCUUGCCAGAACGCGCUCGACGGUGAGGGAUGAAAGCUGGGGGAGCAAACCGGAUUAGAUACCCGGGUAGUCCCAGCUGUAAACGAUGCAGACUCGGCGAUGAGUUGGCUUAUUGCUAACUCAGUGCCGCAGGGAAGCCGUUAAGUUUGCCGCCUGGGGAGUACGGUCGCAAGACUGAAACUUAAAGAAUUGGCGGGGGAGCA
rnacentral:rRNA from 1 species